rnacentral:rRNA from 1 species
GACGAACGCUGGCGGCGUGCCUAACACAUGCAAGUCGAACGGAAAGGCCCUGCUUUUGUGGGGUGCUCGAGUGGCGAACGGGUGAGUAAAACGUGAGUAACCUCCCCUUGACUUUGGGAUAACUUCUGGAAACUGGGGCUAAUACCGCAUAGGAGCUCCUGCUGCAUGGUGGGGGUUGGAAAGUUUCGGCGGUUGGGGAUGGAAUCGCGGCUUACCCGCUAGUUGGUGGGGUAGUCGAUUACGAAGUGUUUGACGGGUAGCCGACCUGGGAGGGUGACCGGCCACAUUGGGACUGAGAUAGGGAGCAGUCGCCUAUGGGAGGCAGCGGGGGGAAGUAUGGCACAAUGGGGGGGAGCCAGUGGCAGCAGCGCCGCGUGCGGGAAGACGUCUUUCUAGUGAUAAACCGCUUUCUCAUGAGACGAAGCGUGAGUGACGGUAAUUGGUAAAGAAGCACCGGCUAACUACGUG